rnacentral:rRNA from 1 species
CCUACGGGCGGCAGCAGUGAGGAAUAUUGGUCAAUGGGCUUACGCCUGAACCAGCAAAGCCGCGUGAAGGAAGACUGCCCUAUGGGUUGUAAACCUCUUUUUUCAGGGAGCAUUUGGCGCUACGUGUAGCGUUAUCGAGAGUACCUGAAUAAAAAGCAUCGGCAACGUCGGUGCCAGCAGCCCCGGGAAUACGGGGGAUGCGAGCGUUAUCCGGAUUUAUGGGGUUUAAUGGGUGCGUAGGCGGAAUGCCAAGUCAGCGGUAAAAUCGCGGGGCUCAACCUCGCUCCGCCGUUGAAACUGGCGUUCUUGAGUGGGCGAGAAGUAUGCGGAAUGCGUGGUGUAGCGGUGAAAUGCAUAGAUAUCACGCAGAACUCCGAUGGCGAAGGCAGCAUACCGGCGCCCAACUGACGCUGAGGCACGAAAGCGUGGGUAGCGAACAGGAUUAGAUACCCUAGUAGUC